UUCUUAGUAAGGUUUUAGAUCUUCUUCAACUCUUGCUGCUAGCUACUUUACUUUAAAAAAAGAAGGAAAAUUAUCAUUUGAAAGAGGU